rnacentral:rRNA from 1 species
UACGUAGGGUGCGAGCGUUAAUCGGAAUUACUGGGCGUAAAGCGCGCGCAGGCGGUUUUUUAAGCCAGGUGUGAAAGCCCCGGGCUCAACCUGGGAAUGGCAUUUGGGACUGCAAGGCUUGAGUGCGGCAGAGGAGACUGGAAUUCCUGGUGUAGCAGUGAAAUGCGUAGAUAUCAGGAGGAAUACCGAUGGCGAAGGCAGGUCUCUGGGCUGACACUGACGCUCAUGCACGAAAGCGUGGGGAGCAAACAGG